UUGUGACUGCAAGGCUGGAGUGCGGCAGAGGGGGAUGGAAUUCCGCGUGUAGCAGUGAAAUGCGUAGAUAUGCGGAGGAACACCGAUGGCGAAGGCAAUCCCCUGGGCCUGCACUGACGCUCAUGCACGAAAGCGUGGGGAGCAAACAGGAUUAGAUACCCUGGUAGUCCACGCCCUAAACGAUGUCAACUGGUUGUUGGGAAUACACUGUCAUCGUCUGAGCGAAAGCAUUAAGUGACCCACCUGGGGAGUACGACCGCGAGGUUGCAACUCAAAGUAAUUGACGGGCGCCCGCACAGGCGGAGGAGCUUGUGUUUUAUUACGAUGAUACGCGAAGCAUCUUUCGUGUCAAAGAUGGGAAGACGUUUCUUAAAGACAGCAUACCUUUCUUCGCUUUUUAUUAAGAGCUGCUGCGUUGUUGUCCGCUCUUGUGUCGGGGGGUGUCGUUAAUAUCCCACAACAGGCGCACCCCCUAUUAUUAGUUGC
rnacentral:rRNA from 1 species